AAGUAAAGGCCUAAUGAAGGCCCAGUAUGAGGCCUGAACCAAACUAAAGUAAUGGUCAAGACUUUGCUAAUAUGAAGCAAAGUUAAGCUGUGAGCAAGAGGCAGGCCCUGCUCACAGAAGUUGGCAAGGAAAGGGCUGAUGUUGCAGAAAUACAUAUUCAUUUAACAUAGUUACAGUAUAAACAUGGUACCAAGACACACUAUACUGGAACAUUCCACAGAUAACAUGGAACAGGCCGACCCAUCCCAAUGACAGGGGCAAAAGGGGAAAAUGAUGGAUAGAGUUGUUUUGAUCGAACCAACAGGUACAAGGUGAGAGGCAGCACCUUAUUACGUAGAGGGGUUGUACCUUGCUAUGUAGAGGGGUUGCACUUCAAUACGUCAGGAGUGAUGUGUAACUUGUUUGUACCUGUGUAUAAGAAUGUGUCCCUGGGGUGGUGUCUUUGUCCGGCCACGGGGGCAGUGGAACGUCCCGCCACUGAGCCGGGUCCUUGCCAAGAGGCAUCUAUUAGUAGUAUGCCCGGUAGACUAAGUAAUCUACGGGGAACUGCAAUUGUGUCCGAGAUCGCAAUAAACCUGGCCGAGGUGCCUUUGUAUCUUAGUAGACUCUGUGGUUAUUGGGGAUUCUCGUCGGGUCUGCUGUGUCAGCUAUCUGCGCAGAGCUGGGGCAGCACACAGAGGGAACACACGCACGCAGCCGAGUGAUAUCAACAGGAGAAAGCAGAAGCACCACACCGGUAGCCUCUCACAACACUGGUGACCCCGACCGCUGAUCUGGUUUCCACCUUUGGCUCCCAAACAUAGCAAAGCAUCAUGAAAGUAUAGCCUCAAAUACCCUCAAAGUACUGUAUUUAAAAUUUAUUUUGGUUUAAUUUUAUAGUUGGUUUAAUUUUUUAUGCUUUUCUUUUGUUAUGUUAUGUUAAUGAGAAGCAGUGGUUGUUAAAGUUGUGCUUCUAAACAGUUAACAAAAGUGAAAUUAGUAUCACAAGCAAAUUAACUCUAAAAAGCUUGGUAAAAAUUCUAACUCCUUUGCUGAAACAAAUUGUUCAGCAAAGGAAAGCAAUACACCUUCUCAUGGAAGAUUGUGAGCAUUUAUUUUAGCCGUUAAGUAUUACAUUUCGUAUAAAAAUAUUAGUAAUGCACUUCAAAUGACAAUGAAUGUCUAUACAACAACAAUUGCAAAAGUAUAGCUUGUGUUACAAAAGGCUUGGUCCCUAUUACAUUGUUCUUAUUACAUUGUAAACAAACUAAGUUAAACUAUGUAUUAAGUUUAAGUUACUGAAAACAAAAACAAAAAAGAAAGAAACAAAAAUCCUUUAUUAUGUUAACUAACUAGCUGUUUAAGUUGCAUCCCACAGACCAAAGACACCAAAAAAUAUCACACCCUGAAGAAACCAGAUAUCAUCAGUAUACAGUGAAGAAACUGCCAAGCAUCAAGAACAGAAAAAUGAAGUGCUUUAUAAAUAAGAGACUGGUCAAAUACACCCCUAUCUACCAUAUAUGGACAAUUAAGUUAACAAUCAGCUAAAAACCACUAGCUGGACCAGGAUAAGCCAUCAUUUAAUUUCAACUUGGUUACUAUGUAAAAACAACUGUAUUAUUGCUGUAUUGCUGUAUUGUUGUCUUAUUGCUGUACUGUAUUAUUGCUGUACAACAUUUACAAUGUGCAUAACCUUGCUAAACUGUUUAACCAACACACAUGUAAAAAUCAACAAACAAAUGGCAGCAAACAACGUGAAGGCAAGAAAAAAACAAAGUGGUAAACAAACAAAAGGUUACACAGUAACUACAAAUUGGGUAAACAAAUUGCCUGUUAGUACCAGUCAUAAUUUGGGUCACUGACACUGCAUCCUAACUGAGGCACAUGUUAUUCAAAACAAUCUUGUUCAGUGUCUGAGUACCAAUACUACAUCCUGACACAGCAAUAUUUGAUCAAUUGGUUACUGUCCAUUCAGUAGGUUAUCUGGAAGACAGCAUCCAUAAGGAACAACUGGAUCUAUGUCAACUACUGGUGUAUCGCAGAGCCAUGCAACCAAUGGAACAGAGAAGCUGGCCACUUCUAUUUCCUGCGCAGUAAAGCUCACCAGAGGGUGACAACUAGCAGUAAGAGUAACCUAUAACAUGAAUGGACAGUACUGGGUAGUAACUAAGUACAAUAUAUUUCUAUAUAAAUGCCUCAGAGGUAGUGUCACUACUCCAAAUUUCUGUUUUUCUUCUCAUAUACAUAGCACUGUAAGACACACCAUCACAAUCCCUAUCCAGUAUUUCAAAACACUCAGCCUACUACUACUGAUGAGACAGGUGAUAACUAGAAUUGCCCUAAUAAGAGUGCGUUUCUAUCUGUGUCACCAAAGUAAAAGGGACAGAGUACAACACCGGACUGGUAAAACAUGGUUAUGCUUAGAUAUAAGGUGGUGUCAUAUGUACACAUACAUACUAUACAUAUAUGCCCAUACACACUCCAAAUAUAUAAGCCAUAUCCAUAUAAUUGAUAUAUAUUAAUUAUUUGGGAGUGCCUCUAAGGCUCAAUCAUAAUACUACAUUCCUCAGUCAUGGUCCCGGGCCUAACAUUCCCAGGCCCACCAUAAGGGACUAAAAAAUAAUUGGAUAAUAAAAUCUGUCUGCCAGUCGUACGAGGGAAUGUGCAGACUAAACAGACGGAUGGAGCAUAAGUGUAUGGAUAGUAAAAUAAAGUAACCACCUAACAGUGUUUAGCCCACUGGGUUAUCUUUAGUCCAUGCAUUAUGCUUUUCCGGGACGAUGAGUAAACGUCCUCCCCUUAAAAAGACAAAAAGUGGGGGAAUGUAGUAAGUGAAGGCAAUGUAGUAAGUAAAGGCCUAAUGAAGGCCCAGUAUGAGGCCUGAACCAAACUAAAGUAAUGGUCAAGACUUUGCUAAUAUGAAGCAAAGUUAAGCUGUGAGCAAGAGGCAGGCCCUGCUCACAGAAGUUGGCAAGGAAAGGGCUGAUGUUGCAGAAAUACAUAUUCAUUUAGCAUAGUUACAGUAUAAACAUGGUACCAAGACACACUAUACUGGAACAUUCCACAGAUAACAUGGAACAGGCCGACCCAUCCCAAUGACAGGGGCAAAAGGGGAAAAUGAUGGAUAGAGUUGUUUUGAUCGAACCAACAGGUACAAGGUGAGAGGCGGCACCUUAUUACGUAGAGGGGUUGUACCUUGCUAUGUAGAGGGGUUGCACCUCAAUACGUCAGGAGUGAUGUGUAACUUGUUUGUACCUGUGUAUAAGAAUGUGUCCCUGGGGUGGUGUCUUUGUCCGGCCACGGGGGCAGUGGAAAGUCCCGCCACUGAGCCGGGUCCUUGCCAAGAGGCAUCUAUUAGUAGUAUGCCCGGUAGACUAAGUAAUCUACGGGGAACUGCAAUUGUGUCCGAGAUCGCAAUAAACCUGGCCGAGGUGCCUUUGUAUCUUA